CAAGAUAGAGCAUGAAUAUGCGUUUCACUUACAAUGAAAAUAUAGAACCCCUUUUCUUAUCUUGA
rnacentral:tRNA from 1 species